CCUACGGGUGGCAGCAGUGAGGAAUAUUGGUCAAUGGACGAGAGUCUGAACCAGCCAAGCAGCGUGAAGGAUGACUGCCCUAUGGGUUGUAAACUUCUUUUAUAUGGGAAUAAAAUGUUCCACGUGUCGGAUUUUGUAUGUACCAUAUGAAUAAGGAUCGACUAACUCCGUGCCAGCAGCCGCGGUAAUACGGAGGAUCCGAGCGUUAUCCGGAUUUAUUGGGUUUAAAGGGUGCGUAGGGGGAUUGUUAAGUCAGUUGUGAAAUUUUGGGGCUCAACCGGAGAAGUGCAGUUGAAACUGGCAGUCUUGAGUACAGUAGAGGUAGGCGGAAUGCGGGGUGUAGCGGUGAAAUGCAUAGAUAUCACGAAGAACUCCGAUUGCGAAGGCAGCUCACUGGACUGCAACUGACGCUGAGGCUCGAAAGUGUGGGUAUCAAACAGGAUUAGAUACCCGUGUAGUC
rnacentral:rRNA from 1 species